GACGAACGCUGGCGGCGUGCUUAACACAUGCAAGUCGAACGGAAAGGCCCUGCUUUUGUGGGGUGCUCGAGUGGCGCACGGGUGAGUAACACGUGAGUAACCUGCCCUUGACUUUGGGAUAACUUCAGGAAACUGGGGCUAAUACCGGAUAGGAGCUCCUGCUGCAUGGUGGGGGUUGGAAAGUUUCGGCGGUUGGGGAUGGACUCGCGGCUUAUCAGCUUGUUGGUGGGGUAGUGGCUUACCAAGGCUUUGACGGGUAGCCGGCCUGAGAGGGUGACCGGCCAGAUUGGGACGGAGAUACGGCCCAGACUCCUACGGGAGGCAGGAGGGGGGAAGAUGGCACAAGGGGCGGAAGCCUGACGCAGCAACGCCGCGUGCGGGAUGACGGCCGGCGGGUUGUAAACCGCUUUCGCCUGGGACGAAGCGGGAGUGACGGUAAUGGGUAAAGAAGCACCGGCUAACUACGUG
rnacentral:rRNA from 1 species